GUCUUACUUGAGAGUGAGUGUGUGUGUGUGGGUGUGCACGUGCACACAUGUGCACGUUUGUAUGCAUGGAAAUAAACUUAUAAAUGGGGACGUAUUGGAGAAGGAAAUACAUAGACCUACAACUUUGAGCAAAUAGCAGUGAUGUUUUAGGAACUGAAAUGUCACACUUAAAGUCUUCAGCCCAGCUACUUCCCUAUUUUUGUGGGGAGAAGAGGGCCUGAUUAGAACUGUUCUGGUUGUGUUUGGCGGGAGGGGAAUAAUUUUUGUUCAGUCCUUCUUAGUGACCAAACUUUAAUUUUUAAGAAUAAUAUAUUGACUUACUGAACUGAAGCAUUCUGAGUUGAAAGGAGCUCCAGAGGAGUGGAGUUCUGUGUUGCUCACAUGUUAAAAUCUUGCUCACCUUCAGAGCAGAGGGAAUACCUAUCUUCAGAUAUCCGUCCAUUUUCAUCUCUUAAUUGUAGUCAAAAGUAUGACUUGAGAGUGUUGCUCUGGUAUUCUGGGUUCUGAAGUCUGGUAUUCUGGUAUUCUGGGUUCAAAAGUAUGACUUGAGAGUGUUGCUCUGGUAUUCUGAGAGUUGCUCUGUAUUCUGGGUUCUGAAGAUUAUUUGAAAAAUAACUCCUACUACAUUGAAAUGCAGACUUUUAAAAAUUUAAACAUUGGAUUAGGCAGUCAAAAAAACCAAGCAAGCAUAAAAGGUCAAUAAGUUGUAAUCUUGAUAGUAAAGGUGGAAAACUUAUUAUAAAUGGAAAGAAAGUUUUGGUUUCCUUUUUUGUUUGAUGGGCAGUAUGCCAUAUUAUACCCAAAGUUCUUUUAAAAAAUAUUUCCAUCAACCAUUUUUAUUUAAAAUAAACAUUUGAGGGAAGUUACCAAGGCAGCUUUUUUCCUCAAAAGUAACCUGUUCCUCUUUGGAAUAGCACAUUUUAGGGGCAUGGUUAAUACCUGAGAUUUUUACUCAGUAAAUCCUGAUGGUUACUGUGUGUAAAAUAUCUUUAAGUAGGAUUGAAGGCCUCUGUGGGGAAAUAAAAUAUUACCAAAGUCUAUAAAAAUAAAUUUUACAUGUUCUCUUUUAUGACAGAGAGCAGCACUGGUUCUGUUAUUUUUAAAAUGAAUAAUUGAUUUCUUGAUAGGUGUUUAAUAUUUCUUCCCUCACUGCUGAUUCUUAGAUAGAAACCAUUCUUUAUAUUUGAUAGACUGUUUUCAGAAAACCCUUAUCAACAAGUGUACAAUACUUAUCUAAAACUAUACAUUUAGAAUGGAGCAGUUUAAUACUAGAUCUCAGAAGUUUUGAAAAAUAGCAAAGAAGACUGGAUUUGGAAAGCAUGGUCUACAAUUGGUUGUUAAAUUCUGAAGCUAUGAAGAAUAAAUGUUUCAACUUUGGAUUAUGAAACCCCAUUUAUGAUUUUUUAAAUACACUUGAAAUAAAAAUGAUUAAACUAAAUUUUGGUCCAGUGACAUUACUUUGCACUGCAUAAUCCAUUAUACAUUGUACGACUUUUUUUUUUUGUUUUAAUUUAUUACUGAGAGUUUUGUGUGAAGCUACAGCAUAUCUAAUCAGAGAAUUUCUGAUUCCUUAUACUGUGAUUAUAUUAUAUUGAGGCAUUUGUAGUGCCGCUGAAGACUGAAUUUAUGCCUUUUGUAAACAUGAUAGGUAUAAAUGUCUUAUAAACAUUCUGGAGUAUGUAUAGCUUUAAUGAAUGAAAUUUAAUGGACCUGAUUAAAAUGAAGGGAUUUAAUCGUUGUUAAAGUUAAGUUAGUCAAAUAAAUUACCUACUGGAAUAUAGCCCAAGCCAGUAAAGGUUUAUUAUUUGCAUUUUCAUGCUUUUAUUUUCUCCUUCCAUUCAUAAGUAUAUACUUGAAAGUACAUCUGUAGCCUAUGAUUUGAGUCUAUUGAAGUUCUAGGAAGAGGCAAACUACAAACUACUAGGAUUCUGAUUUCAGAUGUAGUCAUUCCAGAACCUUCUCUUUAUGAGUUCACCUGCUAGUACAAUCUCCACAACUUGAAUGGCAUUGGUUGUUCUAUAAUUCCUGCCACAAGCAUCACAAGUUGUACAUCAUCAAGGCUCCCUUUGCACUCCCAAGAAGAACUGGUAAUUUUAAACAAAAGUAUGUGUCUUUAUUUGUAUUGGAAAAUACUGUCUUUAAAUUGUUUCUUGUUGACACUCCCCACAAUGGAAAAAUUACCGAAUUAAACCUGUUUUAUGGAUGGCAGCUUGGAGCAUAGCAAGAAGUUGGAGGAUUUGAAUUCCAUUCCCAGUUCUCAUUGUGUUUUGUUUCUUAAAACUAUAAUAAUCGGUUACUGUUAUAAAGUUUAAAAGGUGGUUUUAAUGUGAAUAGCAAAUUCUGGUAUAUCGUGACUAACGCUUAAGAAUGCCUGUCUUUGAGAGGAAGGUGUUAUAAUAUUAAUGAACAGUGCCAAAUACACUGUGCAUAUCUGCAAUUUAAUCUUUGAAUGUAUGUUACUGGAUUAGCUCCCUCCUCCUGUGUGAUGGUACCAUGCAUAGAGUCAAUCAAAUCCUUGUGAUGUUUUGUAUGGACUUUGACAACAUGUAAAUAAUGUGUAAAGCCAGUUUUUAUGAUUAAGGAAUCAAAUUUAUUGAAUUUUAUUAUUGAAAGUUGAAACUUAACAUGUAUGAACAAAAACCAAUAAAAGAAUAUACUCU
rnacentral:lncRNA from 1 species